GCUGCGGUGAAUACGUUCCCGGGCCUUGUACACACCGCCCGUCACGUCACGAAAGUCGGCAACACCCGAAGCCCGUGGCCCAACCGGACUCGUCCGGGGGGAGCGGUCGAAGGUGGGGCUGGCGAUUGGGACGAAGUCGUAACAAGGUAGCCGUACCGGAAGGUGCGGCUGGAUCACCUCCUUUCUAAGGAG
rnacentral:rRNA from 1 species